UUUUCUGCCACCGAAUACAUUAGCAUGGGAUAAUGGAAUAGGACCCUGUCCUCCUAUUUUCAGUUGGUUUUGGCAGCGCGAGGACUAGGGUAAUGAUUAAUAGGGAUAGUUGGGGGCAUUAAUAUUUAAUUGUCAGAGGUGAAAUUCUUGGAUUUAUGAAAGAUUAACUUCUGCGAAAGCAUCUGCCAAGGAUGUUUUCAUUAAUCAAGAACGAAAGUUAGGGGAUCGAAGACGAUCAGAUACCGUCGUAGUCUUAACCAUAAACGAUGCCGACCAGCGAUUAGGAGACGUUGAAUACAAAACACCACCAUCGGUUGCGGUCGUCCUUGGCGUCUCGGUUUCGGCCGGGGCGCGGGGAUGGCUUAGCCCGGUGGCACCGGUGAAUGACUCCCCUAGCAGCUUGUGAGA
rnacentral:rRNA from 1 species